ACCUUCGGGCCUUGCGCGAUUGGAUAUGCCCAGGUGGGAUUAGCUUGUUGGUGAGGUAAUGGCUCACCAAGGCGACGAUCCCUAGCUGGUCUGAGAGGAUGAUCAGCCACACUGGAACUGAGACACGGUCCAGACUCCUACGGGAGGCAGCAGUGGGGAAUAUUGCACAAUGGGGGAAACCCUGAUGCAGCCAUGCCGCGUGUGUGAAGAAGGCCUUCGGGUUGUAAAGCACUUUCAGCGAGGAGGAAAGGUUGAUGCCUAAUACGCAUCAGCUGUGACGUUACUCGCAGAAGAAGCACCGGCUAACUCCG
rnacentral:rRNA from 4 species